AAGAUUGUAUUUUUCUGCCGAUGGCCUCUAAUGAUGGGCGAAUUUUGUAGAUUUAUUCUGACACCAUGUUGAAUACAAUGGAGGCAGCCAUAACAUCAAGGAAUUUUUCAAUAGAAGAAGGGGAAACCCGCACUCUGUCGUCCAAGUUUUCGGAGACUGGCAGAACAACAAAGUUCUUCUUCAAUGUCUUGCUUGACGACGAAAUAACGACAGUGAGCACCUUUAGCAAGGAAAAUGCCAAAAAACUGACGAAGAACUUGUGGUUCCGAAUCCUAAGAGUCCACACCCACCCAACCUUUGGGCUUGAAAUUAAAUUCGAUGCUGUUAUAAUGGACACAAGCGGAACAAUAACGGAAGGGGGGAAGGCUACAUGUACAUUAGACAAAUUCCGUCAGCCACGGAUUCUAUCAAUGGCGGAUGCUUCCGCCAUUGAGAAUACGAAAAGAUUAUCUUUGGGGCCAAAAUUGGAGAGAUGUCUUACACAACAACGUCUACAGAGAGGCAGGACCUCCAACUGGGGUAUGAGGGGAGAACAGCCCGUCUUACCCUCUGGGCCGGUGACCUUUGAAGACGAGGAGGUGGAGGUGUUUGAGGCACUGGUCGAGUCCGUCACCUUUGAGAGCAAUCUCUUUGAAGUAGAAGACACCCUCUUGUCAAUCACCCCAGAGGUCCUUACCUCCGUGUUUGCCUCGAAGAAAAUCGAGGCAAACACGGAGGUAAGAGGAACGGUUCUGUCGUGGAGAUCACGCCUAGAGCCGCAAUUUUCACCAACAUUCUCCUUUUCUGGACAGGAAAAUCUCUCAAUCUCCUCAUAA
rnacentral:sRNA from 1 species